UACGAAGGGGGCUAGCGUUGUUCGGAAUCACUGGGCGUAAAGGGCGCGUAGGCGGCGCGACAAGUCAGGCGUGAAAGCCCCGGGCUCAACCCGGGAAUUGCGCUUGAUACUGUCGUGCUUGAGGCCGGGAGAGGAUGGCGGAAUUCCCAGUGUAGAGGUGAAAUUCGUAGAUAUUGUGAAGAACACCGGUGGCGAAGGCGGCCAUCUGGACCGGUUCUGACGCUGAGGCGCGAAAGCGUGGGGAGCAAACAGG
rnacentral:rRNA from 1 species